rnacentral:rRNA from 1 species
GAUGAACGCUGGCGGCGUGCCUAAUACAUGCAAGUCGAGCGAACGGACGAGAAGCUUGCUUCUCUGAUGUUAGCGGCGGACGGGUGAGUAACACGUGGAUAACCUACCUAUAAGACUGGGAUAACUUCGGGAAACCGGAGCUAAUACCGGAUGAUAUUUUGAACCGCAUGGUUCAAAAGUGAAAGACGGUCUUGCUGUCACUUAUAGAUGGAUCCGCGCUGCACUAGCUAGUUGGUAAGGUAACGGCUUACCAAGGCAACGAUGCAUAGCCGACCUGAGAGGGUGAUCGGCCACACUGGAACUGAGACACGGUCCAGACUCCUACGGGAGGCAGCAGUAGGGAAUCUUCCGCAAUGGGCGAAAGCCUGACGGAGCAACGCCGCGCGAGUGAUGAAGGUCUUCGGAUCGUAAAACUCUGUUAUUAGGGAAGAACAUAUGUGUAAGUAACUGUGCACAUCUUGACGGUACCUAAUCAGAAAGCCACGGCUAACUACGUG